rnacentral:rRNA from 1 species
AGGCACAGACAGCCAGGAUGUUGGCUUAGAAGCAGCCAUCAUUUAAAGAAAGCGUAAUAGCUCACUGGUCGAGUCGGCCUGCGCGGAAGAUGUAACGGGGCUAAACCAUGCACCGAAGCUGCGGCAGCGACACUAUGUGUUGUUGGGUAGGGGAGCGUUCUGUAAGCCUGCGAAGGUGUGCUGUGAGGCAUGCUGGAGGUAUCAGAAGUGCGAAUGCUGACAUAAGUAACGAUAAAGCGGGUGAAAAGCCCGCUCGCCGGAAGACCAAGGGUUCCUGUCCAACGUUAAUCGGGGCAGGGUGAGUCGACCCCUAAGGCGAGGCCGAAAGGCGUAGUCGAUGGGAAACAGGUUAAUAUUCCUGUACUUGGUGUUACUGCGAAGGGGGGACGGAGAAGGCUAUGUUAGCCGGGCGACGGUUGUC